GACAGAGGUGCCGAGCGUUCGGCGGAAUCACUGGGCUUAAAGCGUGUGUAGGCGGGCCGUUAAGUGUCUUGUGAAAUCCCCCGGCUCAACCGGGGAAGUGGCGUGGAUACGGCCGGGCUGGAGGGGGGUAGGGGGAGCCGGAACUUCCGGUGGAGCGGUGGAAUGCGUAGAGAUCCGGAAGAACACCGGUGGCGAAGGCGGUCUGCUGGGCAGUAGCUGACACUGAGGCGCGACAGCGUGGGGAGCAAACAGG
rnacentral:rRNA from 1 species